rnacentral:rRNA from 1 species
AGUGAACGCUGGCGGUAGGCCUAACACAUGCAAGUCGAACGGCAGCACAGUAAGAGCUUGCUCUUACGGGUGGCGAGUGGCGGACGGGUGAGGAAUACAUCGGAAUCUACUUUUUCGUGGGGGAUAACGUAGGGAAACUUACGCUAAUACCGCAUACGACCUACGGGUGAAAGCAGGGGAUCUUCGGACCUUGCGCGAUUGAAUGAGCCGAUGUCGGAUUAGCUAGUUGGCGGGGUAAAGGCCCACCAAGGCGACGAUCCGUAGCUGGUCUGAGAGGAUGGUCGGCCACACUGGAACUGAGACACGGUCCAGACUCCUACGGGAGGCAGCAGUGGGGAAUAUUGGACAAUGGGCGCAAGCCUUAUCCAGCCAUACCGCGUGGGUGAAGAAGGCCUUCGGGUUGUAAAGCCCUUUUGUUGGGAAAGAAAAGCAGCAGGUUAAUACCCCGCUGUUCUGACGGUACCCAAAGAAUAAGCACCGGCUAACUUCGUG